CGCGUUCGGGAUGCCGGGGGCGGGUGGGUGGCUAAGACACCAGCCCCCCACCCCACCCCCUUACACUGCCGUCUGCCCCCUUGGCUUGACCGCCGCGAUCUUGCUAUCGCCUACCUAGCUCUCCUCCUGGCCAACCCCAGGCUAUCUGGAGAGAUGGGAAAAGUGUGGCGAUGCGGAAAAAGUCGGUUUUUCCUCGAGCGGGCGAGGUGCUGUCCCCUCACGCUGUCCACCUGCAGCGCCAGGCAUAUUUGUUCUUUGCCAAAAGAUGGAAAUUUUGAAGAAAAUUGGAAAUUAGAAAAAAAAAAGACAAGCACAGAAAAAGGAUCCUAACUUCAUCUCCUAUAGAGCUGCCAAAUAGUUUAAAAGCUAGAAGCAGUUUAAAAGCUAGAAGCAGCAACAUCUCUCUUUUGACAAUUGUUCACCCUAAGUUCACAGUCUCUGAACCUGGGGACACCUCUUUCCCCCAUCCCAUUAGUGUCAAACUCCCUGAGGUUUGCCACUGCAAAGUGCACGACUCAGCGUUUGCAAUUUACAUGUGUGACAUCAUAUCCUCUAUUAUGUAACUUCAGAUACAAAGCCUAAUAUCAUCUAAGUUUGUGUUGGAAAAAAUCCUCCCUAGCUUUUUAUUUCAGCUUUAGUAGAUCCAGCCUUUGGUUCUCAGUCCCUAAUCCUAUUUCUUUAACAGCUGACACUG
rnacentral:lncRNA from 1 species